GAUAAAAUCUGGCAGGAUGGUAUUCUCUGAAGGAGAGUCUCCACGAUGGGGUGCUUGCUGCUUCUUCCUUCCUAUUAAGAUGUGGUUACUUCAGCUAAUGCAAAAGUUGAAUUGUGUAUAAGGACUCCAGGAAGGGAGCAGAAAAAAAGAAAGAAGAAAAAGGAUUCCAAAAGUUGUGAUAAAAUCUUCGGCACCUUUCCUGGCUGUAGAGUUAUCAUAGCCAAAACUGAAGAAUUGAAGUGGGAAGAACUAUGCUGUCAUUUGAUCACUUCAUAACUUUGCAGAACACAGGAGAGAGCAAGCCAUGCCCUUUGUACAGACAGCAUGUUUGGACUUGGCUUGGGAAGAAUUUGAGUUGCCCCCUCUAACACACAGCACAGAUUGCAAGUCACCUCUAAUAAAGAAACAGAACUGGCACUUAAGCUUACAGAGAAUUUCAAAGAAGCAUCAGAAAUACCAUGGUCAUGAAGAACUAGUACAACCACAAAGAAACAAAAUAAACUUUAAAGAGAGUGUUUUCAACAGAAGUUUGAAAAGGAGAAGGAUUUUCAACUGUCAUCAGUGUGUGUCAGACCCCUGCUUCUUCCUCAGUCAACAGAAAUGGACAUUUUAAGUAUGCAGGAUUGCAUCUAACAAUGUCUCACUUCCUCUUGAUAGCAAGCUGGAAAAUUAUGAAUAUUGGUCAUGUGACUAGAUCAAGAAGUGUAAAUGUUUUAACACUUUUUUUUCUGUUAUUUCUGAUAAGAAUUAACUCAACUUUUCAAAUCAUUAUUCAUCUCUGUAAUGCCUAUUAUAGUAGGAGGUUGGAUGGUGACAGCGUUCGGUCUUCGAAGUCUGAGAGGAUGCUGAAUAAUGAAUGUUGGCAAAGAAUUCUUUUGUUGCAAUCAACACAAAAUGAGGAGAUGGCCUUAGAAAAAACAAUGUCUUGGCUCUUCCUUCUGAAAAUUGAAAUGCAUUAUUUCAAACAUUUGAAUGCAAAAGUUAAUCCUGGCAUAUCUGCCUAAAAGCUACUGAGGACAUCCCUGUAAUCUGGUAACUACCAAAGCAAAGCAUUAGUGUUUUGGGUUUGUGUGGCUGGGUUUUGGUAGCGGGGGAGGGGCUGCAGGGGUGGUUCCUUGAGAAGCUGCUAGAAGCUCCCCUGGCUCCAAGUCGGACCUGCCGCUGGCCCAGGCCGAGCCCAUCAGUGACGGUGGUAGCGCCUCUGGGAGAACAGAGUUAAGAGGGGAAACCUGCAGCGGGGAAGGAGAUUGGGAUGUGAGAGGAACGGGAGACUGGGAUGUGAGAGGAACAGGAGAUUGGGAUGUGAGAGGAACC